AGUGUGCCUUUUCCCUCCCGCUUUUUUAGUAGCUCCGGGUAAAUAUUGAUUUGCCCCCAGUUUACCUCCUCCUGACUGGCCAUUUGCAAACUAAAGAACCCGUCUCUGUAGGGACCCGAUUUUUGUGUUACUUUCCGGCCCCUUCACCCCCCUUCCUUCCUCCAAGCGACAUUGUAAAACUCCUGAUGACAAAGAGACAGGGUAGGGUUCGAGGCCCCAGUUCCUGAGGACUUGAGGGCUGUUUUACAUACAGGUCAGACACGGCUGGAGGCCAAGGUCAAGUUGAAAGUUGCAGUCUAGCCAGUGUGAGAACUGCCAUGCAAGCCUGGAGACCCAGGCAGCUACGAAAGGCCCACUGCCCACCUCCCCUCA
ensembl:misc_RNA